rnacentral:rRNA from 1 species
UACGUAGGUGGCAAGCGUUGUCCGGAUUUAUUGGGCGUAAAGCGCGCGCAGGCGGUCUUUUAAGUCUGAUGUGAAAUCUCGCGGCUCAACCGUGAGCGGUCAUUGGAAACUGGAAGACUUGAGUACAGAAGAGGAGAGUGGAAUUCCACGUGUAGCGGUGAAAUGCGCAGAUAUCGGGAAGAACACCCGUGGCUAAGGCGGCUCUCUAGUACGGUACUGACGCUGAGACGCGAAAGCGUGGGGAGCGAACAGG